rnacentral:rRNA from 1 species
CCUACGGGAGGCUGCAGUAGGGAAUCUUCCACAAUGGACGAAAGUCUGAUGGAGCAACGCCGCGUGUGUGAAGAAGGGUUUCGGCUCGUAAAGCCCUGUUGGUAGUGAAGAAAGAUUGAGGUAGUAACUGGCCUUUAUUUGACGGUACUUACUUAGAAAGUCACGGCUAACUACGUGCCAGCAGCCGCGGUAAUACGUAGGUGGCAAGCGUUGUCCGGAUUUAUUGGGCGUAAAGCGAGUGCAGGCGGUUCAAUAAGUCUGAUGUGAAAGCCUUCGGCUCAACCGGGGAAUUGCAUCAGAAACUGUUGAACUUGAGUGCAGAAGAGGAGGGUGGAACUCCAGGUGUAGCGGUGGAAUGCGUAGAUAUAUGGAAGAACACCAGUGGCGAAGGCGGCUCUCUGGUCGGCAACUGACGCUGAGGCUCGAAAGCAUGGGUAGCGAACAGGAUUAGAUACCCGAGUAGUC